UAAGUAGACCGCCUGGGGAGUACGGCCGCAAGGUUAAAACUCAAAUGAAUUGACGGGGGCCCGCACAAGCGGUGGAGCAUGUGGUUUAAUUCGACGCAACGCGAAGAACCUUACCUGGCCUUGACAUGCAGAGAACUUUCCAGAGAUGGAUUGGUGCCUUCGGGAACUCUGACACAGGUGCUGCAUGGCCGUCGUCAGCUCGUGUCGUGAGAUGUUGGGUUAAGUCCCGUAACGAGCGCAACCCCUAUCCCUAGUUGCUAGCAGUUCGGCUGAGAACUCUAGGGAGACUGCCGGUGACAAACCGGAGGAAGGUGGGGAUGACGUCAGGUCAUCAUGGCCCUUACGGCCAGGGCUACACACGUGCUACAAUGGUGCGCACAGAGGGCUGCAAACCCGCGAGGGGGAGCCAAUCUCACAAAACGCAUCGUAGUCCGGAUCGCAGUCUGCAACUCGACUGCGUGAAGUCGGAAUCGCUAGUAAUCGUGAAUCAGAAUGUCACGGUGAAUACGUUCCCGGGCCUUGUACACACCGCCCGUCACACCAUGGGAGUGGAUUGCACCAGAAGUGGUUAGUCUAACCUUCGGGAGGACGAUCACCACGGUGUGGUUCAUGACUGGGGUGAAGUCGUAACAAGGUAGCCGUAGGGGAACCUGCGGCUGG
rnacentral:rRNA from 1 species